rnacentral:lncRNA from 1 species
CUUCUGAUGGACUUUUGCAUACUGAAAAUCCUCAUGAUAUCCGCACCUAGUGUGAUCAGGAUUCAUCUGGAAAACAAUUUCAUCUGUUCCAUCAUUGGAUGUUUAUAUGGCUGUAUUUUCUUAGGGCUGGCGAAAUUUUUUGUCCUUUCCUUUAAUAUGUUCUCUAUUUGUUCAGAUCAAACUAUAUGACUAGUGUUCCCAGCCUACAGAAGGUGGUUCUCAGAAAAUGAAAACUUUUUCAGGGAUUGACCAGAAAAAUAGAAACAAAAGAGUCAUUCUAUGGAACUUGAGAAUACUAUAUAUCUUCUCUUAUACUUUGUUCAAAGGAGGAUACCUUGUCAUAGAAAACAAAGUUUGAUAUCUAUAUCCUAUGUUUUUUUUUUCUUUUCUACUUUUAUGUCUCAUUUAUUUGUUUGUUCAGUUAUUUUUCUUUUGUAUCAUUGAUUGUCAUUUUCUUGUGGGGAGAUGACAUUUCUUUGUUGGAUCUUCUUUAGUAAUG